rnacentral:rRNA from 1 species
AUUGAACGCUGGCGGCAGGCUUAACACAUGCAAGUCGAGCGAGCGGCGGACGGGUGAGUAAUGUCUGGGAAACUGCCUGAUGGAGGGGGAUAACUACUGGAAACGGUAGCUAAUACCGCAUACCAUCAGAUGUGCCCAGAUGGGUUUAGCUAGUAGGUGGGGUAAUGGCUCACCAAGGCGCCGAUCCCUAGCUGAUCUGAGAGGAUGACCAGCCACACGGUAACUGAGACACGGUCCAUGCUCCUACGGGAGGCAGCAGUGGGGAAUAUGCCACAAUGGUCGCAAGCCUGAUGCAGCCAUGCCGCGGGUGUGAAGAAGGCCUUCGGGUUGUAAAGCACUUUCAGCGAGGAGGCGUUACUCGCAGAAGAAGCACCGGCUAACUCCGUGCCAGCAGCCGCGGUAAUUC